CAUACACACACACACAAGACUGCUGAAUACAGAGACUGAUGAAUACACACACACAGUCUGCUGAAUACACAUACAGACAGACUGCUGAGUACACACACACACACACACAGACUGCUGAGUACACACACACAGACUGCUGAGUACACACACACAGACUGCUGAGUACACACACACACAGACUGCUGAGUACACACACACACAGUCUGCUGAGUACACACACA